GCCAGGCACAGUGGCGCAUGCCUGUAAUCCCAGCAGCUCUGGAGGCUGAGACAGGAGGAUCUCUAGUUUAAAGCCAGCCUCAGCAAAAAUUUAAGGCCAAAAAAAAAAAAAAAAAGGUGCUAAACAACUCAGUGAGACUCUGUCUCUA
rnacentral:sRNA from 1 species